GACGAACGCUGGCGGCGUGCCUAAUACAUGCAAGUUGAGCGAUGAAGAUUGGUGCUUGCACCAAUUUGAAGAGCAGCGAACGGGUGAGUAACGCGUGGGGAAUCUGCCUUUGAGCGGGGGACAACAUUUGGAAACGAAUGCUAAUACCGCAUAACAACUUUAAACAUAAGUUUCAAGUUUGAAAGAUGCACUUGCAUCACUCAAAGAUGAUCCCGCGUUGUAUUAGCUAGUUGGUGAGGUAAAGGCUCACCAAGGCGAAGAUACAUAGCCGACCUGAGAGGGGGAUCGGCCACAAUGGGACUGAGACACGGCCCAAACUCCUACGGGAGGCAGCAGUAGGGGAACUUCGGCAAUGGACGGAAGUCUGACCGAGGAACGCCGGGUGGGUGAAGAAGGUUUUCGGAUCGUAAAACUCUGUUGGUAGAGAAGAAAGUUGGUGAGAGUGGAAAGCUCAUCAAGUGACGGUAACUACCCAGAAAGGGACGGCUAACUACGUG
rnacentral:rRNA from 1 species